AACGAACGCUGGCGGCAGGCCUAACACAUGCAAGUCGAGCGGACCCUUCGGGGUUAGCGGCGGACGGGUGAGUAACGCGUGGGAAUAUGCCCUUCUCUACGGAAUAGUCCUGGGAAACUGGGGGUAAUACCGUAUACGCCCUUUGGGGGAAAGAUUUAUCGGGGAAGGAUUAGCCCGCGUUGGAUUAGGUAGUUGGUGGGGUAAUGGCCUACCAAGCCGACGAUCCAUAGCUGGUUUGAGAGGAUGAUCAGCCACACUGGGACUGAGACACGGCCCAGACUCCUACGGGAAGCAGCAGUGGGGAAUCUUAGACAAUGGGGGCAACCCUGAUCUAGCCAUGCCGCGUGAGUGAGGAAGGCCUUAGGGUUGUAAAGCUCUUUCAGCUGGGAAGAUAAUGACGGUACCAGCAGAAGAAGCCCCGGCUAACUCCGUG
rnacentral:rRNA from 1 species